rnacentral:rRNA from 1 species
GGUGAACGCUGGCGGCGUGCCUAAUACAUGCAAGUCGAGCGAACGGACGAGAAGCUUGCUUCUCUGAUGUUAGCGGCGGACGGGUGAGUAACACGUGGAUAACCUACCUAUAAGACUGGGAUAACUUCGGGAAACCGGAGCUAAUACCGGAUAAUAUUUUGAACCGCAUGGUUCAAAAGUGAAAGACGGUCUUGCUGUCACUUAUAGAUGGAUCCGCGCUGCAUUAGCUAGUUGGUAAGGUAACGGCUUACCAAGGCAACGAUGCAUAGCCGACCUGAGAGGGUGAUCGGCCACACUGGAACUAAGACACGGUCCAGACUCCUACGGGAGGCAGCAGUAGGGAAUCUUCCGCAAAGGGCGAAAGCCUGACGGAGCAACGCCGCGUGAGUGAUGAAGGUCUUCGGAUCGUAAAACUCUGUUAUUAGGGAAGAACAUAUGUGUAAGUAACUGUGCACAUCUUGACGGUACCUAAUCAGAAAGCCACGGCUAACUACGUG